UUGACUCAAGCAUGGAUGGCUAUCGGGUCAAGAGGAAGCAAGGAGGCAAGCAUGAACAUGGAUGCUAAAGGUAUAUUAUUAUAUCCUAUGAAGAUUUAAUGAUUUGGAUGCGAGAUAGUACUCGGAAAGAUAAUCGAAAGGAUCAGCAUGAAUAGAAGAAUGCGGAAUGGUCAUUUAAUUGCGUAGGUUUGGAUUAUGAAUGAUGUUACCAAAAUAUUAAUGAUGUGCAUGUAUUUAGUAGUUGCAAGUUGCACGGAAUUAACAUCACUAUGGAAACUAAGAGGUUGAAGAUCG
rnacentral:lncRNA from 1 species